AGGCCCCGCUGCCCGCCCCGCCCCGCCCCGCCAGGCCAGGCCACGCCCCCGGCAGAGCCACGCCCUCCUCCCCGGUCCGGGGGCGGGCGGGGACCUCUAGACAGCAGGGAGACUUAGACAAAGAGAAGAUCCCCGGAAGGGAGACCCGGGACGGACGCGCCGGGUGUGCGUCAAAUUCAGAUAGCAGAGAAGAAGAGGCUGAUGGGGGCAUCUCAGAAAACGGGGCGCCCUGGGGACUGCAGCCAGAGCGUCUCCCCUCCCUCCUCACGCCGAGGAGGAUGCAGGGACUGCAAAGGGACGCCUGGACGGACGUGCGGGAAUCCAGCAUUCCUCCAGCUCCUCUCUUCUUGCCCCCUGCCCCCAAUCUCGCCCGCAGCUGCCCGCACUGGGGAAAUCCCUUGGCCUUGAUCGGACCUGCCCCAGAAGGUGUGCCAGCCCAUCUUGCACAAUAGAGAGAGGCAGAUGGGGAGGGGAGAUGGACAAAGACGGGGCGGAGGACAGAGGACCAUGGGAAGGAAAGGGAUAUCGCGGCCUGUGGGCAUUUUAUUCGGAGGGCGGCUUGCCGGACCGAGCAGAGCAGGAAUGGCUCUUUACAGUUUGCAAAAGAUUAUCUGAAAUGAAAAGCCGGGCCCUCGGACUUUGGGUACUUGGACUGCAGGGCUGGGCAUGGGUGGGUCGCUAGCACCAGAAGAAAAUGUUUCAGUUUCUGGACCUCCCAAGCUGGUAGAGGAGGCCGAGUAGACCAGUCAGCUUGGACUGCCCUGGUUCAGAUAUGCCCUGUGUGUGCGAGCAGGGCCGGCUAGUUGCUGCUUGCUGGCAGCUCUUGGCUCAACACUGCUGUGCAUUCCACCCCGUUAUUAGCCGCUCUCACUGUAACUCUGACACCUCAGCAAAUGAGCAUCCUAACAGUUACCUUUAAGUCAGCACCUGUCUCUGGAGCUUGUCACCACCGCAGGAGGUGACGCAAUGGAAUUGGAGAGCAAAUGGAACAGAUUGGAGAUCAUCCUGUUAUCCAGAAUAAGCCAGACUCAGAUAAAGAAAUGUCACAGAUUUUCUCUUGUGUCCCAGUGACAUGGUGAAAUACACCAAGAAGGACUGCAGAAAAUUAUAGGGCCAGUCGUGGUGCCUCCUUCUGGAAAAUGUUGAAGAAAACCGAAAUUGGCCAGCAAGCCAAGUACACAGGUGCCUCUCCUCUGGUAAGAGAAGACAGACGGCCUGUUUCCGAGGGUCUGCGUGGAAAUGGUGGCUGGUGGGGACCGGGACCUACAUCACCACUUCUGCAGUCACAUCAAGUCAGCCUCCAGACGACUGAAGGAAUUGAAGGACCAGGAGAAAUGCGACCACCUGAGACAUCCCCAGCCUGCAAUAAGUGGGUUGAUUAACAACAGCAAAAAACGUAAGCCAAGGACUGAGUGUGCCGCGUGGCGGAACCUGAGACCCUGCUUAGCUCAGAAGUUCCCAAUGGGCCGAGAUGAAGCCCUCAGGCUCCUGCUGUUCCUCCUGCUACCGGCAGGCGGCGGGGUCAGCCUUCGUCUGGACAGUGGUUUCCCACUGAGUUUUCCAGAGCUGUGAGAAGAGGCCGCUGAUCUGGCUCCAGCGGCACGCUAGCUCCCUCCUCCCUCCCCCGCCUCUCUGUAAAGAGUGGAGAUGUCAGAUGUCCUCUCUAGACUUCUCAAUCACCCUCAGUAUCCAUCCACCCAUUUAGGACCAGACAGCACAAUGAAAGAUACCUAUGAGUUUUUAACAGACA